CAACCUGCCGCUUACUCGGGGAUAGCCUUUCGAAAGAAAGAUUAAUACCCGAUGGUAUAAAGAGUUCGCAUGUUCUCUUUAUUAAAGAAUUUCGGUAAGCGAUGGGGAUGCGUUCCAUUAGAUAGUUGGCGGGGUAACGGCCCACCAAGUCUACGAUGGAUAGGGGUUCUGAGAGGAAGGUCCCCCACAUUGGAACUGAGACACGGUCCAAACUCCUACGGGAGGCAGCAGUGAGGAAUAUUGGUCAAUGGACGAGAGUCUGAACCAGCCAAGUAGCGUGAAGGAUGACUGCCCUAUGGGUUGUAAACUUCUUUUAUAAGGGAAUAAAGUGAGGGACGUGUCCCUUUUUGUAUGUACCUUAUGAAUAAGGAUCGGCUAACUCCGUGCCAGCAGCCGCGGUAAUACGGAGGAUCCAAGCGUUAUCCGGAUUUAUUGGGUUUAAAGGGAGCGUAGGUUGACAUAUAAGUCAGCUGUGAAAGUUUACGGCUCAACCGUGAAAUUGCAGUUGAUACUGUAUGUCUUGAGUGUACAAGAGGUGGGCGGAAUUCGUGGUGUAGUGGUGAAAUGCUUAGAUAUCACGAAGAACUCCGAUUG
rnacentral:rRNA from 1 species